UUAUGCUACCACUUCGAGAAGGAACCAUCACCCUAGCUGCGUGCUUAAUCCCCAGGAAAACGCCAGUUACGUUAACACUAAGAACACGCUCGAAAUCUGAUUUGUCGUUGUCCAUUAUGCGACUCUUGUUGGGAUCAACGAUGCCGGCGUUGUUGAACAUGAUGUCCAACUUUCCGUGAGUGGCGACGGCUUUGUCAACAGCAUUUUUUAUUUGGUCUUCAUCAGUGACGUUGCAAUGCACGUAGGAACAGUUUGAAGGGCCUAUGUCCUCACAAACCCGAUGACCUAAAUCAUCUUGGAUAUCAGCAAUUACAACUUUGGCUCCAUGCUGUGCAAACACUUUAGCAGUGCAUUUCCCAAUACCACUAGCUCCUCCU
rnacentral:lncRNA from 1 species